UACACACGCCUCCAAGCGUAUUGUUCGCGCGGAUAUAAGAGCAGGAAGGAUGGAUCAAGUUAGUUAGAUAAAGACAAACUAUUAAACGCCAUCCUUAUCUCUGCUUAGUUGUGACAUCGACGCGUCCCCCCUUCCCUCGGCCAGCAGCUUCGCAGCUCUCCGCCAGAUGUCUCUAGUAUGACUCCUGCAGAUCCUUAAGGACUCUGAUUGGUCGCGCACAUCUGCUACUAGCUUUCUGAACGUGAUGAUCGUGUGAAGCGCCACCACUUUGAAACACCGCACAACGAGUUCUGGCGAAUGACUGCGUUCACGACAGCGCUGCGCUGUAGUCAUUGCAGUUGUCGCUUAAUCGAAUGAGGGA